AUUGAACGCUGGCGGCAUGCUUUACACAUGCAAGUCGAACGGUAACAGGCCGCAAGGUGCUGACGAGUGGCGAACGGGUGAGUAAUGCAUCGGAACGUGCCCAGUCGUGGGGGAUAACUACUCGAAAGAGUAGCUAAUACCGCAUACGAUCUAUGGAUGAAAGCGGGGGACCGUAAGGCCUCGCGCGAUUGGAGCGGCCGAUGUCAGAUUAGGUAGUUGGUGGGGUAAAGGCUCACCAAGCCAACGAUCUGUAGCUGGUCUAAGAGGACGACCAGCCACACUGGGACUGAGACACGGCCCAGACUCCUACGGGAGGCAGCAGUGGGGAAUUUUGGACAAUGGGCGCAAGCCUGAUCCAGCAAUGCCGCGUGCAGGAAGAAGGCCUUCGGGUUGUAAACUGCUUUUGUACGGAACGAAACGGCUCUGGUUAAUACCCGGGGCUAAUGACGGUACCGUAAGAAUAAGCACCGGCUAACUACGUG
rnacentral:rRNA from 1 species